rnacentral:tRNA from 1 species
AAAAUAAACUUAUAAUAAGUUUUAAUAGUUUAAGAUAAAACACUGAUCUUGUAAAUCAGAA